AGAACGUUUACAGCCAGACCAGUCCCAGUGAUGAGAAUUUUGUGGAGAUUCAGGAAGCCACCCAUAUGAGUUCUGAGAGC